GGCCCCAUGGGGACAGACUUGCGUGCAUUUGGGCAUGUCUGCAAGCAAAGCAUUGUGAAAUGCAAAAUUUUGGAACACAAUUAACAUACACGUGUUUUUAAUUUGUUUUUUUCAAUUUUCAUUUUUUUAAUUUGUUAAACCGCCGGGAAACCACCAACAGGUCGAGUUAUUACUAUAUGGGGGGCGAGCGCCCCAGGGGUAGAGCAGGCCAUUCUGGCACCGACUGGGUUGGAGCCCGCCGGUGGCUUAAUGGACUUGCUGGUGAUCACGGUGCACACUCUCAUUGGGUGUGGUUGGGUUGAUAAGUAAUGUGUAAGGCACAAUGUGGAUUUCAGCCGAAAGACCUUGAACCAUUGAUUGCUCAAUUGGAAAGGUGACGAUGGAAAUGUGAUGUGGAUUGACAUUGGAACUGUAUGCAAGGGUAUUUGUCUCAAAGGUGGUUUGCAACACAAGUUGUGUGAUGUAGUGCAUUUGUGCACAUGCAUUGCUAGAUCCGA
rnacentral:misc_RNA from 1 species